rnacentral:sRNA from 1 species
GCAUAAGCGUCAGUGCCUGUCGCUGCGGCUGCGUGGCGGGUUGUCCAGGUAACCACGGGAGUUGUCGCUGUCUAGGAGCAUCUGAAAGACAGGUGUGCGUCAUGCACUUGAAGCACCUGAGGACCCUGCUGAGCCCUCAGGAUGGAGCUGCAAAGGUGACCUGCAUGGCUUGGUCCCAGAACAAUGCCAAAUUUGCUGUCUGCACAGUGGACCGAGUGGUCUUGCUGUAUGAUGAACAUGGAGAACGGAGAGAUAAAUUCUCCACCAAACCAGCUGACAUGAAGUAUGGCAGGAAGAGCUAUAUGGUGAAGGGCAUGGCUUUUUCUCCUGAUUCCACUAAAAUUGCCAUAGGACAGACUGACAACAUCAUCUAUGUCUACAAGAUUGGAGAAGAUUGGGGUGACAAGAAAGUCAUCUGCAACAAGUUCAUCCAGACGGUAAAGUUCAGACCAGUCCCUGGAACCUUAGGAUGAACAAACAUAUAUCAGUAUAUCUACUUAUAAAUACAGCCAGGAGUUGCAUUUCUAACAUCUGAAUGUGACUUUUCCUACUGCAAGGAUGGUGCUUCAUGGCUGUUCAUGGUCAUCUGCUGUCUUCCUUAGAGCCCUGCUGUGUCCUUCCCUAUAGGAGAUUGAGGUGGUGGUGUGUGGUGGGGUGUUGAAGUUGUUAUAAAAGUGCUGGCCCACACAGAUGGGGUUAUCCUUUUCAUUAUUUCCUUUCACACAGAGUGCUGUCACUUGUCUGCAAUGGCCGGCAGAAUACAUCAUUGUCUUUGGACUGG